rnacentral:rRNA from 1 species
AUUGAACGCUGGCGGCAGGCCUAACACAUGCAAGUCGAGCGGCAGCGGGUAGAAAGCUUGCUUUCUAUGCCGGCGAGCGGCGGACGGGUGAGGAAUACCUAGGAAUCUGUCCAUUAGUGGGGAAUAACCAGCCGAAAGGUUGGCUAAUACCGCAUACGCCCUACGGGGGAAAGGGGGGGAUCUUCGGACCUCUCGCUAAUAGGUUAGCCUAGGUCGGAUUAGCUAGUUGGGGGGGUAAAGGCCUACCAAGGCGACGAGCCGUAGUUGGGCUGAGAGGAUGACCAGCCACACUGGGACUGAGACACGGCCCAGACUCCUACGGGAGGCAGCAGUGGGGAAUAUUGCACAAUGGGCGAAAGCCUGAUGCAGCCAUGCCGCGUGUGUGAAGAAGGCCUUCGGGUUGUAAAGCACUUUAGGCGGGGAGGAAAGGUUAACGAUUAAUACUCGUUAGCUGUGACGUUACCCGCAGAAUAAGCACCGGCUAACUCUGUGCCAGCCGCCGCGGUAA